UACAGGGGGGGCAAGCGUUGUUCGGAAUUACUGGGCGUAAAGGGCUCGUAGGUGGCCAACUAAGUCAGACGUGAAAUCCCUCAGCUUAACUGGGGAACUGCGUCUGAUACUGGAUGGCUUGAGUUUGGGAGAGGGGUGCGGAAUUCCAGGUGUAGCGGUGAAAUGCGUAGAUAUCUGGAGGAACACCGGUGGCGAAGGCGGCAUCCUGGACCAACACUGACACUGAGGAGCGAAAGCCAGGGGAGCAAACGGG
rnacentral:rRNA from 1 species